rnacentral:lncRNA from 1 species
GCUCGCCGUGCCAGGGCAGGGCAGCACUCGCGGCUGCUCCGCGGCGCAGCGGCACCGGCGCCCCGGCCAUGCGCUGAUGGGUACCAUGGACUUUAAGACAGAUGCCAGUGCAGUCACCAUCAAUCUGCUGCUUAUUGUGCGCCCCGAGGAGGCGGCGAGCAAGGAAAAAGGGCAGCGAGAGGGGCAGACGGAAAGCGGCCGAGGCGCAGGUUCCAAGGGUGAUGGCAAUGGAAACAGCAGAUCACAGGCACCUCAGGGCACAGGCCUGAACGGAACCCAAGUGACAGUAGAGAUUCACCAUGAGGACACCACCCCCCCGCUCAUCAAGAGACUCUCCCUGGGAAAAGGUACAGCCCAGAUUUAAGCCUGGCAGAGGCUCAGCCCGUCC